ensembl:lncRNA
AGAGCUUUCCCCAUGAAAGGACUUUGCAUGCUAAAACAAAAAAAGGUUCCAUCCUGGCAGAAAGGACACAAACCGUCCCAGUGAAGAGGACGCCAGUGGACGGGAAAUGUGCUGUCUUCCUACAGAACCCCGUUCCCCACGCAGCGAGCGGCCGGCCGGCGGCGAUCCGCAGACGUAAUGCGACAUAAUGGCCUCCGCCCACUGCUGAGGCUGCACGCUGGGCGCUUCAGUGCCCCCCCCUGACCCCGUCCCAGAGGAGGAUGCCCGUGUGUUGGUGGAGUCCAGCAGCUCAGCGCAGCGCGACUGAAAGGAGGUGCGGCCUCCAUUUUAUUCUAAGAACAUAUCGUCGUAAUAUCUUUCAAUUCAAUUCAACUUGACCCCAGAGGGCUCUACUAAUGGUUCACAUGCGACGUCUUCGCUCCGGUUAGAAAAGUGGAAGGAGACAAAUAACAACUAAAACAACCAACCUCAGUCUAAGUCUUUGCUAUUUAUGGGUUUGUCUCACAGCUUCGUCUUACUAUCACACUGUUCAAACUGAACCAGAAGUUCUAACUCAUCUGACUCAUCGAACUCAAAAGAAUACCGCGAAGACCUGGACGAAUCCAUUUGGGCCUUUUAGGCCUCUUGGGUGGCUGAAGUGCAUCUGGAUGCCGGGCUGCGUGGUGCUGAGCUCUGGGUCGGUACUCCGGGCCGAUACCAGCUGUGUGUGGGUUUAACCAAUGCACGUGCACACGGUGGCGCGCAGCACACAGCGGAGCCUUUAAUAACCGCACGUGUGGCUUUAGAGCGCUCAGCUUUGUGUGUCUGUAAACGUUUCGAGUUUAGAUCCAUCCAUCCAUCCAUUUUCAACCGCUUAUCUGGUCGCGGGGGCAACAGCUCCAGCAGGGGACCCCAAACUUCCCUUUCCCGGGCCACAUCUACC